UUUUAAUGAGAGUUUGAUCCUGGCUCAGGACGAACGCUGGCGGCGUGCCUAAUACAUGCAAGUAGAACGCUGAAGUCUGGUGCUUGCACUAGACGGAUGAGUUGCGAACGGGUGAGUAACGCGUAGGUAACCUGCCUCAUAGCGGGGGAUAACUAUUGGAAACGAUAGCUAAUACCGCAUAACAGUAUUU
rnacentral:rRNA from 1 species